rnacentral:piRNA from 1 species
UGCCUCAGAACUCGUAUGGCACUGCAGGC